AAUCCUCAUGUGAAUCUCCAAAUCUAAAACCCUAAAAUCUUACACAUUUUCUAAAAUCCUCACGCGAAGAAGGCCAUCUCCAGACGACGCCCGAUCUCGCCAUCGUCCGCUCGUGCCCGUCUAUUCACUCCAGCGUUGUCACAACCUCAUCUACGAACGAUGAAACCUCCUCUGUCGGUAUCUGUUCCUUCUCCCUUUCUCUCUCUUGGAAGGACAAUAUGGAGAUGAUGAUGCAAUCCAGUCGAUCGAUCUUGCUUCCAAAUGUCUACAAUACGAAGCAAGAGAUCGACUCGAUAUAAAAUUUGUUCUUUCAGCAGUGAUGCCACUUCAAAAGUAGGAGUUCUACAGUUGCACUAUUUCCAGAAUCCAUGGAGAGAAAACAGAAAGAAAAAAAAAGUAGGGGAAAAAACUGAUAACUGAAGGAGGGGUGUGAAGAAAGGCAAUAAAUAAACUUGGUUGAGUAAUAAAGGCUGGUCAAAUAACUGUUUUAACUUUUUAGUUGACAGUUCCACAUAAAUGAAGGCUUUAGGUUUUUGUAUUAGAAUAUUAGCUAGGAACUAACUUUAUUUUGAUGAAGACUAAUUCUGUGUGCGUUUGAAAUUUUAGGAUGUUGCUAUGAAGAUUCUGAUGGAAGAAGAUCUUCAUGCAGAAUGUUUUGAUGAGUUUCAAUGUUUUGAUGAGUUUCUUAGGGAGGUUGGCAUAAUGAAAUGUCUAUGACAUCCAAACAUCGCUCUCUUUAUGAGUGCAGUCACAGAGCCUUCAAACUUGUCCAUGAUUGAAACCCAUGACUACGUGACCAUGGUUCAAGCAACAAAAAAUAUUUUCAGAGGUGAAGGAUUAUCGGUUUGUUGUUUAUGCUCGUACAGAAAAUCAUGUUAUAUGUAUUAUGAUGUAUUUACACUGGUUUUGAUUAAGGGCUGUAAUUUCAUACUUGUAAAUUGUUCAAACUUGAUUGAAAAUGUACGAAUAUUACAAAGUGUAUUAUAGCGUAUAUAUAUUAAAGUGUCGACCAUUUGUUUCUA